rnacentral:rRNA from 1 species
GCGUAUAUUAAAGUUGUUGCAGUUAAAAAGCUCGUAGUUGAAUUUCGGGGUCAGUAGGUCGGUCGUGCCACUGGUAUGAACUGGUUUUACUGAUUCCUCCCUCUUGAAGAACUGUAAUGCCAUUAAUUUGGUGUUGCAGGGAAUCAGGACUGUUACUUUGAAAAAAUUAGAGUGUUUAAAGCAGGCUUUAGCUUGAAUACAUUAGCAUGGAAUAAUGAAAUAGGACGUUUGAUCCUAUUUUGUUGGUUUCUAGGAUUGACGUAAUGAUUAAUAGGGAUAGUUGGGGGCAUUAGUAUUCAAUUGUCAGAGGUGAAAUUCUUGGAUUUAUUGAAGACUAACUACUGCGAAAGCAUUUGCCAAGGAUGUUUUCAUUAAUCAAGAACGAAAGUUAGGGGAUCGAAGACGAUCAGAUACCGUCGUAGUC